rnacentral:tRNA from 1 species
GCGGGUAUGGCGAAAUUGGUAGACGCGCCAGACUUAGGAUCUGGUGCCGCAAGGCAUGGGGGUUCGAGUCCCUCUACCCGCA